ACACAUAUCAGCUUUCCUUAACAGAAGCAUCGAAGCAUCAAUGCUCGUCACUCCUGUUGAGAAGGUGUGCGAGUAUGCUCCAAACCUGUCCUUGCGCUAUUUGUGCUUCGACCCGGCGACGCGGACGGGGCCUACCUGAGCGGAAACACAGCAAAGGUGUGGGAGCGGAAGCACCGCAUGAAGGUCUACCCCAUCAUGCGCAAGUGCACGGAGGCAGGCCAUGCAAUGAACUACCGCGCGCGUAGAAUUUCGAAGUGCGCGACUUGCUGGUUAUGAUCAUAUAGAGUGUCGCCUACUUGCGACUGGACAGCAGCGACCCGGAAAGUGAGGCUGAGCAGCAGCAGCUUCCCCAGCUGCUGCCGCAAAAGGGAUCAAAACAGCGACCCCACCAUUGGCGUCUACGUGGGGAGGGCGAGAGAUAUCGUCGUCCUUGGAGAGGUCCGUCAGCAACAAAGACGACGAGAACUUCUUCGGGAGAGGUCGGGAGGGCUGGAAACUCCAGUGCGACCACUACCAUGCCAUGCACCAUGUCGUCACACUGGGUUGCCGACACGCUUACCAGGGAUGGGUUCUGCUUUUCUUGCUCACGGCGGCCUCUGCACCGGAGUCGACCCCGCGCAACGGGGCUGCGACUGGGAAGCUUUCCGCUCUACCUUCAGCCAGCUUUUCAUCAGCUUGCCGUCGCCGUCGUGUACACCUGCCUUCAUGGCAGGAUGAUGGGGUGCGACCCGAGCGGGCGCGUAGGGGUUUACAUGAGCCACGUGUACUUGUGCAUCACGGAGAAGGACAUUCUCUUUGUGGCGGAAAACGGCGCAAUUGCACGCUCGCUGCCGCUCUCCUUGCUGGUGGCGGUGUGGAGUACAACGGGCCACUAGCAAGUGGUACCUCUGAUACCGGCGCGGCUACCACUUCCACGCCCCUCGCCCCUACAGCACCGUCUAUGCUGUACGCGGCGUUUCUCACGACUGGCGAGCAGGCCGAUGUACUCUUCAGCCCCUGCGUAGCCUUCCUGGAUGAGUGCAACGACUGCUCCGCCUCCAUGGCA